rnacentral:misc_RNA from 1 species
AAGUCGUAACAAGGUUUCCGUAGGUGAACCUGCGGAAGGAUCAUUAUUGAAUGAACUUGGUGUGGUUGUUGCUGGCCCUUUUGGGGGCAUGUGCACACCCACCAUCCUCAUCUCUCCACCUGUGCACCUCUUGUAGACUUGGGGGAUAGACUUUCCGAGGCAACUCGGGUCUGGAGGAAUGCUGCUCAAGCUUUCUUUGUAUUUCCCGGUCUACGUUUUUUAUAUAUACCCCAUAGCAUGUAACAGAAUGUAUCAUUUGGGCCCUUGUGCCUAUAAACCUUAUACAACUUUCAGCAACGGAUCUCUUGGCUCUCGCAUCGAUGAAGAACGCAGCGAAAUGCGAUAAGUAAUGUGAAUUGCAGAAUUCAGUGAAUCAUCGAAUCUUUGAACGCACCUUGCGCUCCUUGGUAUUCCGAGGAGCAUGCCUGUUUGAGUGUCAUUAAAUUCUCAACCUUAUCAGUUUAUUUCUGAUAGUGGCUUGGAUGUGGGGGUUUCUCUUGCUGGCUCAGGUCAGCUCCCCUUAAAUGCAUUAGCUGGUGCCCCGUGUGGACUGUCUAUUGGUGUGAUAAUUAUCUACGCCAUGCAUGGAUGGUCUGCUUAGCACUGCUUCUAACCGUCUCAGACAAUACAUGACAAUUUGACCUCAAAUCAGGUAGGACUACCCGCUGAACUUAAGCAUAUCAAUAAGCGGAGGAAAAGAAACUAACAAGGAUUCCCCUAGUAACUGCGAGUGAAGCGGGAAAAGCUCAAAUUUGAA